rnacentral:rRNA from 2 species
AGAGUUUGAUCAUGGCUCAGAUUGAACGCUGGCGGCAGGCCUAACACAUGCAAGUCGAGCGGUAGCACAGGAGAGCUUGCUCUCUGGGUGACGAGCGGCGGACGGGUGAGUAAUGUCUGGGAAACUGCCUGAUGGAGGGGGAUAACUACUGGAAACGGUAGCUAAUACCGCAUAACCUCGCAAGAGCAAAGAGGGGGACCUUAGGGCCUCUCGCCAUCAGAUGUGCCCAGAUGGGAUUAGCUAGUAGGUGAGGUAAUGGCUCACCUAGGCGACGAUCCCUAGCUGGUCUGAGAGGAUGACCAGCCACACUGGAACUGAGACACGGUCCAGACUCCUACGGGAGGCAGCAGUGGGGAAUAUUGCACAAUGGGCGCAAGCCUGAUGCAGCCAUGCCGCGUGUGUGAAGAAGGCCUUCGGGUUGUAAAGCACUUUCAGCGAGGAGGAAGGCGGUAAGGUUAAUAACCUUAUCGAUUGACGUUACUCGCAGAAGAAGCACCGGCUAACUCCGUGCCAGCAGCCGCGGUAAUACGGAGGGUGCAAGCGUUAAUCGGAAUGACUGGGCGUAAAGCGCACGCAGGCGGUCUGUUAAGUUGGAUGUGAAAUCCCCGGGCUUAACCUGGGAACUGCAUUCAAAACUGACAGGCUAGAGUCUUGUAGAGGGGGGUAGAAUUCCAGGUGUAGCGGUGAAAUGCGUAGAGAUCUGGAGGAAUACCGGUGGCGAAGGCGGCCCCCUGGACAAAGACUGACGCUCAGGUGCGAAAGCGUGGGGAGCAAACAGGAUUAGAUACCCUGGUAGUCCACGCUGUAAACGAUGUCGAUUUGGAGGUUGUGCCCUUGAGGCGUGGCUUCCGGAGCUAACGCGUUAAAUCGACCGCCUGGGGAGUACGGCCGCAAGGUUAAAACUCAAAUGAAUUGACGGGGGCCCGCACAAGCGGUGGAGCAUGUGGUUUAAUUCGAUGCAACGCGAAGAACCUUACCUACUCUUGACAUCCAGAGAAUUAGCUAGAGAUAGCUGAGUGCCUUCGGGAACUCUGAGACAGGUGCUGCAUGGCUGUCGUCAGCUCGUGUUGUGAAAUGUUGGGUUAAGUCCCGCAACGAGCGCAACCCUUAUCCUUUGUUGCCAGCGAUUCGGUCGGGAACUCAAAGGAGACUGCCGGUGAUAAACCGGAGGAAGGUGGGGAUGACGUCAAGUCAUCAUGGCCCUUACGAGUAGGGCUACACACGUGCUACAAUGGCGUAUACAAAGAGAAGCGACCUCGCGAGAGCAAGCGGACCUCAUAAAGUACGUCGUAGUCCGGAUUGGAGUCUGCAACUCGACUCCAUGAAGUCGGAAUCGCUAGUAAUCGUAGAUCAGAAUGCUACGGUGAAUACGUUCCCGGGCCUUGUACACACCGCCCGUCACACCAUGGGAGUGGGUUGCAAAAGAAGUAGGUAGCUUAACCUUCGGGAGGGCGCUUACCACUUUGUGAUUCAUGACUGGGGUGAAGUCGUAACAAGGUAACCGUAGGGGAACCUGCGGUUGGAUCACCU